AACGAACGCUGGCGGCAUGCCUAACACAUGCAAGUCGAACGAGACCUCCGGGACUAGUUGCGCACGGGUGCGUAACGCGUGGGAAGGGGCCCUUAGGUUCGGGAUAACACCCCUUAGGGGGGGCUAAUGCCGGGUAAUGUCCUCGGAUCAAAGAUAUAUCGCGUUUGGAUGGGCACGGGUUGGAUUAGCCUGUUGGGAGGGUAAAAGCCUAUCAAGGCGAAGAUCCAUAGCUGGGAGGAGAGGAUGAGCAGCGACACUUGGGCUGAGACACAGCGCAGACUCUUAGGCGAGGGAGCAGUGGCGAAUACAGGACAACGGGCGAAGGCCUGAUCCAGCAAUGCUGGGUGAGUGAUGAAGGCGUGAGGGUAGUACAGCUCUUUUAUCCGGGACGAUAAUGACAGUACCGGGAGAAUAAGCACCGGCUAACUCCGUG
rnacentral:rRNA from 1 species